UCUUUCGGAAAAGGAGGAGGAGGAGGAAGAGGAGGAAGAAGAAUCCCGUAUCCUUCUCCCCUAACGGGCAAGGGGGGUGUUAACCAAAUCUGAAAGGGCAGUUGAGAGAUGAAUGGUUAGAUGAUGAGAGUCCACUGUUCUUGCUGCCUGAAGAUCUGAAGAAGCUGGGGAUGUUUCAAGCAACCGAGCAACAAGAGAAUUCUUAGAAGAUUUCAAAGCAUUGCAGAAAGGGAUCACAAAUGAGGAAGCACUGACUGUGAAGCAGGAAGAACAACAGCAUUGGUCUUAAGACCAUAAGACCGUAAGAGGAGCCCUGCUGCAUCAGGCCACGGCCCGUCUAGUCCAGCAUCCUGCCUCACACAGCAGCCCAACAAUUGUUUCUUGGCCU
rnacentral:lncRNA from 1 species